rnacentral:rRNA from 1 species
CGCGGCCUAUCAGCUUGUUGGUGAGGUAACGGCUCACCAAGGCAUCGACGGGUAGCUGGUCUGAGAGGACGAUCAGCCACACUGGGACUGAGACACGGCCCAGACUCCUAUGGGAGGCAGCAGUAGGGAAUCUUGCGCAAUGGGCGAAAGCCUGAUGCAGCAACGCCGCGUGCGGGAAGAAGGCCCUAGGGUUGUAAACCGCUUUCAGCAGGGAAGAAAAUGACGGUACCUGCAGAAGAAGGUGCGGCCAACUACGUGCCAGCAGCCGCGGUGACACGUAGGCACCAAGCGUUGUCCGGAUUUAUUGGGCGUAAAGAGCUCGUAGGCGGUUCAGUUAGUCGGGUGUGAAAACUCUGGGCUCAACCCAGAGACGCCACUCGAUACUGCUGUGACUAGAGUGCGGUAGGGGAGCGGGGAAUUCCUAGUGUAGCGGUGAAAUGCACAGAUAUUAGGAGGAACACCAGUGGCGAAGGCGCCGCUCUGGGCCGUAACUGACGCUGAGGAGCGAAAGCGUGGGUAGCAAACAGGAUUAGAUACCCUGGUAGUCCACGCCGUAAACGUUGGGCACUAGGUGUGGGUCUCAACCAACGAGAUCCGCGCCGUCGCUAACGCAUUAAGUGCCCCGCCUGGGGAGUACGG